AUUAAUCAUUGCAGGUCUACCAUAACCAAAGAUCAAUGAUCCAUUUUUUUCCCAUUCAUAAUCUGCACCAAUGCUAUCAAGGAAUUCUACCACCUUACUUCGAUCUUCGGUUUGAAAAACCUUAAAACAUCAGGUUCUUCAGGAUGUCUCUAUUUCUGAUGAUUACGGUCUCUCCACCACAUCCUGGACCAGCUGGUUUAUCGCAGUAAAACAACAGCUAAUAAAAGAAUCCUAGCUAUUGAUUGAUAAUUCAAGUCCCACUCCAGGGUUUUACUGGAAAUUGAAGGCAGUUUUGCUUGUUGUUGUGCACAUUCACUCGCGGUCGCGUGAUCAGAAAUUCCAACAUCUUUCGCUGAAACGACAAACGGAAAAUUCUCUCUCGGUGGAUUUAGAUUUUUUGGGAAAGUCGAACUGGUUGAGCCAGGGAGAAAUGUAACAUUGUCCUCAUGAUCUACUGUUAUCACUGAGUGUGUUCUAAAAUUUCAUAGAAAAGAAACAAUAA